rnacentral:rRNA from 1 species
GCGAGGAAUUUUGCGCAAUGGGAGCAAUCCUGACGCAGCAACGCCGCGUGGGUGAAGAAGGCCUUCGGGUCGUAAAGCCCUGUCAGGUGGGAAGAAGGGUCCUAUCAGGAAAGGGGUGGGAUUUGACGGUACCACCAGAGGAAGCACCGGCUAACUCCGUGCCAGCAGCCGCGGUAAUACGGAGGGUGCGAGCGUUAUUCGGAAUUACUGGGCGUAAAGCGCGUGUAGGCGGGGGAGCAAGUCUGAUGUGAAAGCCCCGGGCUUAACCCGGGAAGUGCAUUGGAAACUGUGUUUCUUGAGUACUGGAGAGGAAGGGGGAAUUCCCGGUGUAGAGGUGAAAUUCGUAGAGAUCGGGAGGAAUACCAGUGGCGAAGGCGCCCUUCUGGACGGUUACUGACGCUGAGACGCGAAAGCGUGGGGAGCAAACAG